AAAAGUUGAAUUAAAGGCACUUACUGUGAUAACUCUGUAGGCAUUACUUCGAACAAGUGAACAAAAAGAAUUCCAAUGAAAGCCCUUCUACGAGUCGUCAGCCUGGUCCUAAUUAACGUCGUCGUGAUUAUUAUCACGCCGUGCGGGGCUACGCUCGGAGAAAGAAAGGCUUAAAAAUCAAGCCUGAUUUCGAAAGAACCCCCGCACCGAAAGGUCCGGGGGUUUUUUUUUAUCAGGUCAUCAAAUACAGAGGUACGGAUAUCGAAUAGCAGCAUAAUAUGCUGCUCUCGCCGGCAAGAG
rfam:Erwinia tasmaniensis strain ET1/99 complete chromosome.